CGCGGGGACUACAAGUCCCGUGAUGCCCUGCGGUUCCCGCGCUUUCCCACUUCCGGCGGGAACCGCCAUGGCGGCCCGCUCUGGGCCGCUGGGCCCGAACCGAGAUGGAGCUGCCGCCCCCCCCGGGGCCGGUGCUGCGCAGGUUGUGCUCGGGCUCCUGUGGCCCCAUCUGGGAAUUCGUCACGCGGCACGUGAGACACCCCAGGACCGUGAAGAAGAUUCGGGGGAACCUGCUUUGGAAUC